rnacentral:rRNA from 1 species
GAUGAACGCUGGCGGCGUGCCUAAUACAUGCAAGUCGAGCGAACGGACGAGAAGCUUGCUUCUCUGAUGUUAGCGGCGGACGGGUGAGUAACACGUGGAUAACCUACCUAUAAGACUGGGAUAACUUCGGGAAACCGGAGCUAAUACCGGAUAAUAUUUUGAACCGCAUGGUUCAAAAGUGAAGGACGGUCUUGCUGUCACUUAUAGAUGGAUCCGCGCUGCAUUAGCUAGUUGGUAAGGUAACGGCUUACCAAGGCAACGAUGCAUAGCCGACCUGAGAGGGUGAUCGGCCACACUGGAACUGAGACACGGUCCAGACUCCUACGGGAGGCAGCAGUAGGGAAUCUUCCGCAAUGGGCGAAAGCCUGACGGAGCAACGCCGCGUGAGUGAUGAAGGUCUUCGGGUCGUAAAACUCUGUUAUUAGGGAAGAACAUAUGUGUAAGUAACUGUGCACAUCUUGACGGUACCUAAUCAGAAAGCCACGGCUAACUACGUGCCAGCAGCCGCGGUAAUACGUAGGUGGCAAGCGUUAUCCGGAAUUAUUGGGCGUAAAGCGCGCGUAGGCGGUUUUUUAAGUCUGAUGUGAAAGCCCACGGCUCAACCGUGGAGGGUCAUUGGAAACUGGAAAACUUGAGUGCAGAAGAGGAAAGUGGAAUUCCAUGUGUAGCGGUGAAAUGCGCAGAGAUAUGGAGGAACACCAGUGGCGAAGGCGACUUUCUGGUCUGUAACUGACGCUGAUGUGCGAAAGCGUGGGGAUCAAACAGGAUUAGAUACCCUGGUAGUCCACGCCGUAAACGAUGAGUGCUAAGUGUUAGGGGGUUUCCGCCCCUUAGUGCUGCAGCUAACGCAUUAAGCACUCCGCCUGGGGAGUACGACCGCAAGGUUGAAACUCAAAGGAAUUGACGGGGACCCGCACAAGCGGUGGAGCAUGUGGUUUAAUUCGAAGCAACGCGAAGAACCUUACCAAAUCUUGACAUCCUUUGACAACUCUAGAGAUAGAGCCUUCCCCUUCGGGGGACAAAGUGACAGGUGGUGCAUGGUUGUCGUCAGCUCGUGUCGUGAGAUGUUGGGUUAAGUCCCGCAACGAGCGCAACCCUUAAGCUUAGUUGCCAUCAUUAAGUUGGGCACUCUAAGUUGACUGCCGGUGACAAACCGGAGGAAGGUGGGGAUGACGUCAAAUCAUCAUGCCCCUUAUGAUUUGGGCUACACACGUGCUACAAUGGACAAUACAAAGGGCAGCGAAACCGCGAGGUCAAGCAAAUCCCAUAAAGUUGUUCUCAGUUCGGAUUGUAGUCUGCAACUCGACUACAUGAAGCUGGAAUCGCUAGUAAUCGUAGAUCAGCAUGCUACGGUGAAUACGUUCCCGGGUCU